AGUGUGAUGGCAUUCUUAAUUGUGACUGGGCAAGGGGACCUGGUCAAGCAGCAGUCUGAAUCCCACAGACGAUGCCCUGGACUGUGGUUGGGGCUGUGGGACUUCGAAGGAGGGCUCUCCUGUCUGCCACCAUCCUGGGUUGACAAUUCUACACAAGGAGGUCCAUGAAAGACCUCCUCCUCCUUCUCCACCUCCCUCUACAAUAUAUGAGUAUUUUCUCCACCUCCCUCUACAAUAUUUUUUACAGAGUCAAGAGGAUCCUAUGAAUUUCCCACUGGGUUAAAAAUAUGACACAAUCCAAGGAGACAGCAUACCCAGUAGUGCCGUGUAGACUGUCGUAAACACCGUUUCACCAGGCUGCACAGAUGAUGCUGCUCUUCCCUUCACCUCCCAUCCUGUCGAAAAGGUUUUGUUAUUUUGUGCUCAUUUCAGAAGCUGAUGUGUAAAUGGUGUGUAUUUCUGUUGCCAUGACAACCCAGCAGCAAUUGGCCUGGGCUUCUUACCAGAGUACAAAUGUGCUCUUGACACGAUGCUUAUCAGACUUUGCCAGACAAUUUUCCCUCCUGGAUUCACACAAAAGGUUUCGAAGACUCCUAACUGCAUUUAGAGGAGAGACAGGCUGAAAUUUCGCACUUGGCUCACAUGAAUGAUGAAGCUCUAAAGCUCUGAUCCCCUGCUGAAGUCAUCGUGUUCUAGUCUAUCAUUUCAGUACUCUGGGGGCAACUCUGUAUAAUUAAAGAGGACCAAGUAUAAAUGUGGCAAAAAAAUCUUGCUGGCUACCAGAACUGGGCUUUUGUUGAUGUUUCAUGUGACACAUAACUGUCUCUGCAUUUAAUAAAAGGUCACUGUGACUGCCUAUGUUCUUAUUCA
rnacentral:lncRNA from 1 species